AUUGAACGCUGGCGGCAUGCCUUACACAUGCAAGUCGAACGGCAGCACGGGAGCAAUCCUGGUGGCGAGUGGCGAACGGGUGAGUAAUAUAUCGGAACGUGCCCAGUAGUGGGGGAUAGCCCGGCGAAAGCCGGAUUAAUACCGCAUGAGACCUGAGGGUGAAAGCGGGGGAUCGCAAGACCUCGCGCUAUUGGAGCGGCCGAUAUCAGAUUAGCUAGUUGGUGGGGUAAAGGCCUACCAAGGCAACGAUCUGUAGUUGGUCUGAGAGGACGACCAGCCACACUGGGACUGAGACACGGCCCAGACUCCUACGGGAGGCAGCAGUGGGGAAUUUUGGACAAUGGGCGCAAGCCUGAUCCAGCAAUGCCGCGUGCAGGAAGAAGGCCUUCGGGUU
rnacentral:rRNA from 1 species